rnacentral:rRNA from 1 species
GUUAGGAAUAUUGGACAAUGGGCGCAAGCCUGAUCCAGCCAUGCCGCGUGAGUGAUGAAGGCCUUCGGGUUGUAAAGCUCUUUAGUCCACGAAUAUAAUGACUGUAGUGGAAGAAUAAGCCCCGGCUAACUUCGUGCCAGCAGCCGCGGUAAUACGAAGGGGGCGAGCGUUGUUCGGAAUCACUGGGCGUAAAGCGUGCGGAGGCUGUUUUGUAAGUCAGAAGUGAAAGCACAGGGCUUAACCCUGGAAUUGCUUUUGAAACUACAAGACUCGAAUUCGGGAGAGGAUAGCGGAAUUGUCAGAGUAGCAGUGAAAUGCGUAGAUAUUGACAGGAACACCAGUGGCGCAAGCGGCUAUCUGGACCGAUAUUGACGCUGAGGCACGAAAGCGUGGGGAGCAAACAGGAUUAGAUACCCGAGUAGUCC